AACACGGAUAUAGCUGGUUCUCCCCGAAAUAGCUUUAGGGCUAGCGUCGAGGUAGAGUCGCAUGGAGGUAGAGCACUGAAUGUACGAUGGCCCCAUCCCGGGGUACUGAGUAUAAUCAAACUCCGAAUGCCAUGCAGACGUACUCGGCAGUCAGACUGUGGGUGAUAAGGUCCAUGGUCAAAAGGGAAACAGCCCAGACCGCCAGUUAAGGUCCCAAAAUGUAUGCUAAGUGGAAAAGGAUGUGGGGAUGCACAGACAACUAGGAGGUUGGCUCAGAAGCAGCCAUCCUUCAAAGAGUGCGUAACAGCUCACUAGUCGAGUGACCCUGCGCCGAAAAUGUACCGGGGCUAAGCAUACUACCGAAGCUGCGGAUUCAACUUCAGAGUUGAGUGGUAGGGGAGCGUUGCAUGCACGUAGAAGCCGUACCGUAAGGAGCGGUGGAGAGCAUGGAAGAGAGAAUGCCGGUGUGAGUAGCGAGAUGUAGGUGAGAAUCCUACACACCGAUAGCCCAAGGAUUCCAGGGGAAGGUUCGUCCGCCCUGGGUAAGUCGGGACCUAACGCGAGGCCGAAAGGCGUAGUGGAUGGAAAACAGGCAGAUAUUCCUGUACCCGCGAUGGAAAUGAAGGAAUGACGGAGAAGGCUAGUGUGAGCCACUGAACGGAUUGUGGUCAAAGCAUAUAGCAGGCUGACAGUGAAAUGCGUCAGCGGGAUGUAAGAUGUGACAGGUAAGGGAACGUCCUUGGACAAGUACUGAAGCACAUGAUGCCAGCUUCCAAGAAAAGUUUCUAGUGAUAAUUCCAUAGCGGCCCGUACCAAAACCGACACAGGUGGGCAAGGAGAGAAUCCUGAGGUGAGCGAGAGAACUGUUGCCAAGGAACUCGGCAAAAUGACUCCGUAAGUUAGCGAUAAGGAGUGCUCUUGUAAAAGAGAGCCGCAGUGAAGAGGCCCAAGCGACUGUUUAACUAAAACACAGCUCUCUGCAAAGUCGCAAGACGAAGUAUAGGGGGUGACGCCUGCCCGGUGCUGGAAGGUUAAGAGGAUUUGUCAUCCGCAAGGAGAAGCAAUGAAUUGAAGCCCCAGUGAACGGCGGCCGUAACUAUAACGGUCCUAAGGUAGCGAAAUUCCUUGUCAGGUAAGUUCUGACCCGCACGAAAGGCGUAACGAUUUGGGCGCUGUCUCGGCAGCAGACUCGGUGAAAUCUUAGUACCUGUGAAAAUGCAGGUUACCCGCAACUAGACGGAAAGACCCCAUGGAGCUUUACUGUAGCCUGAUAUUGAAUUUUGAUCAAAGAUGUACAGGAUAGGUGGGAGGCGAAGAGACGUGUACGCCAGUAUACGAGGAGCCGCUGUUGGGAUACCACUCUUGUUUGAUUGAAGUUCUAACCUGCACCCAUGAACUGGGUGAGGGACCGUGUCAGGUGGGCAGUUUGACUGGGGCGGUCGCCUCCUAAAGAGUAACGGAGGCGCCCAAAGGUUCCCUCAGAGCGGACGGAAAUCGCUCGAA
rnacentral:rRNA from 1 species